rnacentral:rRNA from 1 species
AUUGAACGCUGGCGGCAUGCUUUACACAUGCAAGUCGAACGGUAACGCGGGGGCAACCCUGGCGACGAGUGGCGAACGGGUGAGUAAUACAUCGGAACGUGUCCUGGAGUGGGGGAUAGCUCGGCGAAAGCCGGAUUAAUACCGCAUACGCUCUGAGGAGGAAAGCGGGGGACCUUCGGGCCUCGCGCUGCGGGAGCGGCCGAUGUCGGAUUAGCUAGUUGGUGAGGUAAAGGCUCACCAAGGCGACGAUCCGUAGCUGGUCUGAGAGGAUGAUCAGCCACACUGGGACUGAGACACGGCCCAGACUCCUACGGGAGGCAGCAGUGGGGAAUUUUGGACAAUGGGGGCAACCCUGAUCCAGCCAUGCCGCGUGAGUGAAGAAGGCCUUCGGGUUGUAAAGCUCUUUCGGACGGAACGAAACGGUUACGGUGAACAAUCGUGUCUAAUGACGGUACCGUAAGAAGAAGCACCGGUUAACUACGUGCCAGCCGCCGCCGUAACAC